UAAAUUACUGUAUUUAUAAUUUUGAAGUUCUGUCUCAAACAAGGCGAACUUCAAUUUAUCAUUGUAAGGAAAUUUUGUCUAACUUCUGUGUGUUCAUUUGGAGUUAAAAAAUAAAUUAAUAAAUAUGAUUAUUCUCUCGGUAAUCCGUCUCAACCGCAUUAUUUUCUGUCCAAAUUUCAACUUUUCACGAAGUCGCAAAACCCAAAUGAAAAAGAAAGCAGAAAACUCAAACAAUUUCUUCUUACCAAAGAAAGGCAGGACGGCGGAUAGGAUAUGAACAUAUCGUUUGGGACCAUACUCAUUUGACCCAUCUCGUUGAACCAUUAGUCAUUUGCAGAAACCGACGCCAGAUCUGACCAGCGAGAGAGGAGAGAUUUCAGAGGAGUCGAGCGCGGUUGUUGCACAGAGGGGAUGGAGGCCAUGGUCCAUGGAGAUAUCGAACGACAAGUCCGUUGUCGUUGCCAAUGGCGGUGGUAGCCAGGCUGUUGCCAGCGGCGGCGACGGUUGCGAUGUCGCUACAGCUGAAAGAAGAAGCUAAAGAUAAAGAAUUGGAUUGUACUGAAAAAACGACGGCUUAGCGCCAUUGUCGGUGAUGGCCGCAUGCCUAAAGGCGAAGAACGAGAUUUGGGCGGCUGCGUUUGGGAAUUUUUUUGGUUUCUAGUUGGGAUAAGGGUUCCCCAUAUGUUCUGGAAGUGUUGUGGCACAAUUUGUGACGUGUCGAAUUAGGAAGUCCAAAUGGGCAAUGAAGUGGGCCCCGCGAUGGUCAUGUAGUCAAUUAAUUGAAAAUGUAACAAAUGUAUGACAUUGAAAUGAAAUUGUGAGUAUGCAUGAAAUUGUAUGUUUUAACGAAGAAAUUGUAAUGUUUUAAAUCUUAACUUUGUAGACAAAUUGAUGUGUCUGCUGCAGUAUAAAAUUCUUUAUGCUAAUUGUUCACAAAUUCAAUGGUUUAGCUAUUUAGACUCGGCGCUUUUGUAAGAAACUUUUGCUGUUUACAAGCAUUUUAGUCCCACAUCGACCAAAAACAAAGAAAGCGUGUUUUGAAAGUGAAAUCAGGCUUCUUAACAAUUUUCUCGGCCUUCAUAAUCAAAAGAAAUUGAGCAUGUUUCCCAUCUCUUCUCGAGAAACAAGUGGGUUAUGAUAAAUUGUGCUCAAAUUCAUAUGCGGCAAUUCCGUCGAUAUCUCUUCUUUAGUUGGAGGAAGAAUCCGCACGAAUCGGAUAUUUUUUGAGGAACAUAUAUAGAGAGAAUUGGUUACAUAAUGUGUGGUUGUUAAACAAGUAUCGGUUUUUUAGCAAAGUACGGAAUGCAUCGUCAAAUAUUCAAUAUGAUUCCACAAGAUCUAAUUUCGUUCAAGUUACGGAUUCUCUUACCUUUUAAGGUGAGCCCAUCUAAUUUCUAAACCUAAUCCACAAAGGAGUGAUUCUCUAACCUUUUAAUCUCUCUCUCAUUCUCUUUCCCGUAUUUAAAGGGUUACGAAUAAGACAUGUCACAUCUUGUGUUGACUUUUUUUAUAGAGAGAAAGACGAAGAGGAAAGUGUGAAAGAAGGGGAGGGAAGGGGAUAGAAUUAGGAGGCGAGGAGAGCAAAUGAGAUAGAAUUAGGAGAGAAGAUAAUCCCACUUAUAGACAAAAGGACGAAAAAAGAAAAAUCGAAGAGAGAAUUCACUUUGUCAACUAAAGAUAACGUCUUUUAACAUUAAAAAAGUUGUAUCAAUAACGAGUUUGUAACCAAUUUAUUCCCUACCCUUUAGUGUGAUUAUAUCAAACUUUGAAAAUUAUGGAUUUUUUUACCACAAGAUUGAGGAUUUGGAACUCAAAAUUCUAAUAAUUUUUGUUUUGUGUUAAUUCGGUGUUAAUCUAGUUAAUGGUGAAUUCAAAAAGUUUUCUUACUGAUUACAAGAUGAAAUUCGCACGUCACUUUACGUAGUUGUUAUUAGCUCCUUUCCCUUGCUUAUUCUCUUUAAUGUAAUGGCUACAUAGUAGCUUUCCUUAAAGAGAGCAUCAAAAGAACAUUGUGAAAUGUCAUGAACUUUUAUGUAGACCCGCCAAGUUUUAUGAAGUUAGUAUUAAGUGUCCAAUUACUAGUUACAACUUAGUUUGAGAUGGUUACAUGUAUUAAUGCACAUUUACCAUCUUUAAUAGGAAGCCUAUAUUUGGAGCACCCAUUAUAUAUUUUUAAGUAAAAAAUGAGAGGUUUUAUUCAGAGUAUAAAAAAAAUAGAAAGUGAAUAAAACGACAAAAAUUUUGUACCGAAUUUAACACUUUUAACUUUUGAUGCAUUAGAAUGCGGUUGUGGAUGCUGAAGUCCCAAAUUAUAGUGUAGCAAUUAACAACCCAAGAAUCCAUCAUUGGAUAAGACCUAGCAUUAAUUUGGAUGAUAAUAAUGUUUUGUCAAGUUUAUAUGGAGUAAAAGAAAUGAAUUUUGGAAACAGAGUAUAUCAAUUGCUUUGUAAUUUGUCAGAAUACGUAUGUAAGAGUAGAAAUUAUCUUUGUUUAAUCAUAAAAAUUUGAUCGCUAUCCACAAAUACAUGUAUAUAUAACCCCAAAUAAAUAUGGCUCUAUGUUAGUUCCAAGUCCCAGAGAUGAUUCACAAGUAGCAGCUCUCGCGGAUAAACGUUUUGAGCGUUAAAGUCCCACAUCGGCCGUGAGCAAUAAUUGAGCAAGCAAACAGGCGUAUAAAAUGAACACUCCAGCUCGUUUCUAAUCAUACCUUUCUCGGCCUUUUGGCUAAGAUCAAGUGUAGUAUCUGUUCUUAUCAGUUUAAUAUCUGAUACGUGGACCAAUGGUUCACACGAUAUUAAAUUAAUUUUUCUGGGAGGAAGGGGUCCAACACAGUAGCUUGCUACUGGGAUCUUCGCGUGUCGCCCUAGUGUUGCACUACUGCUAGGGCUGGCGCACUCCACCAAAACGAGUAAAAUUUCCAAGUUCUUGUACUUGUAAAUUUGAAGUUCCGUCUCAGACAAGGGGAUCUUCAAUUUAUUCUUGUGAUCAACAACGUUAUAUAAAAUUUCCAGUUCCGUCAUAAGCAGAGGGAAAUUUUCUCUAACUUCUGUGUGUUCAUUUGGAGUAAAAAUUAAAUUAAUAAAUAUGAUUAUUUUCUCGGUAAUCUGUCUCAACCGCAUUAUUGUGUCCGAAUUUCAACAUUUCACGAAGUCGCAAAUUGAAUUCAAAACCCAAAUUAAAAAGAAAGCAGAAAAAACCCAAACAAUUUCUUCUUACCAAAAAAAGUCGGGCGGAUAGGAUAUGAACAUAUCGUUUGGGACCAUACUCAUUUGACCCAUCUCGUUGAACCAUUAGUUAUUUGCAGACACCGACGCCAGAUCUGACCAGCGAGAGAGGAGAGAUUUCAGAGGAGUCGAGCGCGGUUGUUGCACAGAGGGGAUGGAGGCCAUGGUCCAUGGAGAUAUCGAACGACAAGCCCGUUGUCGUUGCCAAUGGCGGUGGUGGCCAGGCUGUUGCCAGCGGCGGCGACGGUUGCGAUGUCGCUACAGCUGAAAGAAGAAGAAGCUAAAGAUAAAGAAUUGGAUUGUACUGAAAAAACGACGGCUUAGCGCCAUUGUUGGUGAUGGCCGCACGCCUAAAGGCGAAGAACGAGAUUUGGGCGGCUGCGUUUGGGAUUUUUUUUGGUUUCUUGUUGGGGAUAAGGGUUCCCCAUAUGUUCCGGAAGUGUUGUGGCACAAUUUGUGACGUGUCGAAUUAGGAAGUCCAAAUGGGCAGUGAAGUGGGCCCCGCGAUGGUCAUGUAGUCAAUUAAUUGAAAAUGUUAUGACAUUGAAAUGAAAUUGUGAGUAUGCAUGAAAUUGUAUGUUUUAACGAAGAAAUUGUAAUGUUUUAAGUCUUAACGUUGUAGACAAAUUAAUGUGUCUGUUGCAGUAUAAAAUUCUUUAUGCUAAUUGUUCACAAAUUCAAUGGUUUAGCCAUUUAGACUCGGCGCUUUUGUAAGAAACUUUUGCUGUUUACAAGCAUUUUAGUCCCACAUCGACCAAAAACAAAGAAAGCGUGUAUUGAAAGUGAAAUCAGGCUUCUUAACAAUUUUCUCGGCCUUC
rnacentral:lncRNA from 1 species